AGUGAACGCUGGCGGCAGGCCUAACACAUGCAAGUCGAGCGGCAGCGCGGGGGCAACCCUGGCGGCGAGCGGCGGACGGGUGAGGAAUACAUCGGAAUCUGCCUUGUUGUGGGGGAUAACGUAGGGAAACUUACGCUAAUACCGCAUGAGACCGUAAGGUGAAAGUGGGGGAUCGCAAGACCUCACGCGACAAGAUGAGCCGAUGUCGGAUUAGCUAGUUGGUGAGGUAAAGGCUCACCAAGGCAACGAUCCGUAGCUGGUCUGAGAGGAUGAUCAGCCACACUGGGACUGAGACACGGCCCAGACUCCUACGGGAGGCAGCAGUGGGGAAUAUUGGACAAUGGGCGCAAGCCUGAUCCAGCCAUGCCGCGUGUGUGAAG
rnacentral:rRNA from 1 species